rnacentral:rRNA from 1 species
CCUACGGGUGGCUGCAGUGGGGAAUAUUGCACAAUGAGCGAAAGCCUGACGCAGCGACACAGCGUGAAGGAUGAAGGUCUUCGGAUCGUAAACCUCUGUCAGCAGGGAAGAACGGUCGCUGUGCUAAUCGGCCGUGAAUUGACGGUACCUGCACAGGAAGCACCGGCUAACUCCGUGCCAGCAGCCGCGGUAAUACGGAGGGUGCGAGCGUUAAUCGGAAUUACUGGGCGUAAAGCGCUCGUAGGCGGUAUGUCAAGUCAAGGGUGAAAUCCCCGCGCUCAACGUGGGAACUGCCUUUGAAACUGGCAAACUGGAGUGUGUGAGAGGAUAGUGGAAUUCCAGGUGUAGGAGUGAAAUCCGUAGAUAUCUGGAGGAACAUCAGGGGCGAAGGCGACUAGCUGGAACAUAACUGACGCUGAGGAGCGAAAGCGUGGGUAGCAAACAGGAUUAGAUACCCCAGUAGUC